rnacentral:tRNA from 1 species
GGCUUCGUGGCGUAAUGGUGGCGCGUCGGAUUCCAAUCCUCCGGACACUAUACCGGAAGGGCACCAUCCGAAGGUUGGGGGUUCGAUCCCCUCCGAGGUCA